rnacentral:tRNA from 1 species
AGUAGAGUGGCCGAGGGUAAUAGGUGAUAGAUUGUAAAUCUAUGAAGGGGCGGUGUUGCCCCUCUACUA